GGGGGGGGGGGGGGGGGGGGCGGGGGGAGGCGGGGCGAGGGGGGGCGCGGGGGCUGGCGCCGGGGGGAGGGUGGCGGACGGGUGGGGAAUACAUCGGAGGGUGUCCUGUGGUGGUGGAGAGCCCGGGGAACGCCGGAUUAAUACCGCAUAAGAUCUGCGGCUCACAGCGGGGGACCGUCGGGCCUCGCGCUAUAGGGUUGGCCGCUGGCUGAUUAGCUAGUUGGUUGGGUAACGGCCUACCAAGGCGACGAUCAGUAGCUGGUCUGAGAGGACGACCAGCAACACUGGGACUGAGACACGGCCCAGACUCCUACGGGAGGCAGCAGUGGGGAAUUUUGGACAAUGGGCGAAAGCCUGAUCCAGCAAUGCCGCGUGUGUGAAGAAGGCCUUCGGGUUGUAAAGCACUUUUGUCCGGAAAGAAAUCCUUGGCCCUAAUACGGUCGGGGGAUGACGGUACCGGAAGAAUAAGCACCGGCUAACUACGUG
rnacentral:rRNA from 1 species